CCUGAUCAGAGCUGAUGGAAUUUCAGAUCAUUCCCGGGAAGGUGCGCCCACUCACGCCGCCUCGCCGAGAAC
rnacentral:sRNA from 15 species